AGUGAACGCUGGCGGUAGGCCUAACACAUGCAAGUCGAACGGCAGCACAGUAAGAGCUUGCUCUUACGGGUGGCGAGUGGCGGACGGGUGAGGAAUACAUCGGAAUCUACUUUUUCGUGGGGGAUAACGUAGGGAAACUUACGCUAAUACCGCAUACGACCUACGGGUGAAAGCAGGGGAUCUUCUGACCUUGCGCGAUUGAAUGAGCCGAUGUCGGAUUAGCUAGUUGGCGGGGUAAAGGCCCACCAAGGCGACGAUCCGUAGCUGGUCUGAGAGGAUGAUCGGCCACACUGGAACUGAGACACGGUCCAGACUCCUACGGGAGGCAGCAGUGGGGAAUAUUGGACAAUGGGCGCAAGCCUGAUCCAGCCAUACCGCGUGGGUGAAGAAGGCGUUCGGGUUGUAAAGCCCUUUUGUUGGGAAAGAAAAGCAGCAGGUUAAUACCCCGCUGUUCUGACGGUACCCAAAGAAUAAGCACCGGCUAACUUCGUG
rnacentral:rRNA from 1 species